GCUGGGCAUGGUGGCCUGUGCCUGUAGUCCCAGCUACUUAGGAGGCUGAGGUGGGAGGAUAGUUUGAGCCCAGGAGGUUGAGGCUGCAGUGAGCCGUGAUCAUGCCACUGCACUCCAGCCUGGGUGACAGAGCAAGACUUUGUCUCUA
rnacentral:sRNA from 1 species